ACUGGAAUAGCUUAGUUGGUUAGAGCGUGUGGUUGUUAACUACAAGGUUUUAGUUUCAAGCCCUUUUUCUAGCG
rnacentral:tRNA from 1 species